rnacentral:lncRNA from 1 species
UGAUUUCGGAAUUAGAUUAGACAGGGGGAUAUGGACAGUGUUAAAAAUAAUAGGGGGCAAUAUGAAGAGAAUUCAUAUAUAUGUGUGGUCUAGUCAAAAGGUAGGUAAUAUAGUGGGUUAUAGAUAGGGUCAUUGUGUUUAUAUGGGGGAAUAUGCAGUCAACCCUAAAAUUAGUAUUUAUUUUUAUGCCAAACAAAAAACAGAAAGUUAUUUUAUGAUUCUAUUCUUCGGACGUCUACACUUAUAAGAAAUAAAUCUAAAAGGUGUUGAUUUCCUAGGAAGUCUACGUCAUAAUUUGAUAUGAUAAUUUUAUUUUAAAAAUGUAUAAAA